rnacentral:rRNA from 1 species
UAGGGAAUCUUCGGCAAUGGGGGGAACCCUGACCGAGCAACGCCGCGUGAGUGAAGAAGGUUUUCGGAUCGUAAAGCUCUGUUGUUAAGGAAGAACGAGUGUGAGAAUGGAAAGUUCACACUGUGACGGUAUCUUACCAGAAAGGGACGGCUAACUACGUGCCAGCAGCCGCGGUAAUACGUAGGUCCCGAGCGUUGUCCGGAUUUAUUGGGCGUAAAGCGAGCGCAGGCGGUUAGAUAAGUCUGAAGUUAAAGGCUGUGGCUUAACCAUAGUACGCUUUGGAAACUGUUUAACUUGAGUGCAAGAGGGGAGAGUGGAAUUCCAUGUGUAGCGGUGAAAUGCGUAGAUAUAUGGAGGAACACCGGUGGCGAAAGCGGCUCUCUGGCUUGUAACUGACGCUGAGGCUCGAAAGCGUGGGGAGCAAACAGGAUUAGAUACCCUGGUAGUCCACGCCGUAAACGAUGAGUGCUAGGUGUUAGACCCUUUCCGGGGUUUAGUGCCGCAGCUAACGCAUUAAGCACUCCGCCUGGGGAGUACGACCGCNGGUUG